GGCUGGUCCCAUACAGUGGUGUUUACAACUAAUUGAUCACAACCAGUUACAGACUUCUUUGUUUCUUCUCCACUCCCACUGCUUCACUUGACUAGCCCUAA
ensembl:misc_RNA Y_RNA Y RNA